rnacentral:rRNA from 1 species
CGGUGUUUAACUGGCGUGAUGUGGGACGUCCUACCGGUGGGCUUAGCCUCGCGAGGGGCGGCCCAACUAAUAUCCCGUCGCGGUGCUCUUUACUGAGUGUCGAGUCGGGCCGGUACGUUUACUUUGAACAAAUUAGAGUGCUUAAAGCAGGCUAUCCUCGCCUGAAUACUGCGUGCAUGGAAUAAUGGAAUAGGACCUCGGUUCUAUUUUGUUGGUUUUCGGAACCCCGAGGUAAUGAUUAAUAGGGACAGAUGGGGGCAUUCGUAUUGCGACGUUAGAGGUGAAAUUCUUGGAUCGUCGCAAGACGGACAGAAGCGAAAGCAUUUGCCAAAAAUGUUUUCAUUAAUCAAGAACGAAAGUUAGAGGUUCGAAGGCGAUCAGAUACCGCCCUAGUUCUAACCAUAAACGAUGCCAGCUAGCGAUCCGCCGAAGUUCCUCCGAUGACUCGGCGGGCAGCUUCCGGGAAACCAAAGCUUUUGGGUUCCGGGGGAAGUAUGGUUGCAAAGCUGAAACUUAAAGGAAUUGACGGAAGGGCACCACCAGGAGUGGAGCCUGCGGCUUAAUUUGACUCAACACGGGAAACCUCACCAGGCCCAGACACCGGAAGGAUUGACAGAUUGAUAGCUCUUUCUUGGUUCGGUGGGUGGUGGUGCAUGGCCGUUCUUAGUUGGUGGAGCGAUUUGUCUGGUUAAUUCCGAUAACGAACGAGACUCUAGCCUGCUAAAUAGGCGUACCUUAUGGUAUCGCGAAGGCCCCCGGCUUCGGCCGGUGGGUUUUUACUACCAACGUACAAACAAAUCUUCUUAGAGGGACAGGCGG